GUUAAUGUUACAUUUUACAUAAUUAUACUGUGUCAUUUAUUUCAAACAUUGAUUGUGUGUUUUAGGCCCUCUAAGGACUUUUCUUCAGCUGUAGAAAAAGCCGAAAUGUUGAAGUUGGAAAUCAUGCUGGCAUUGGCGUGCAUCUAAUCAGGUGAAGGGAGCAUGCUGAGUCUUGUGGCCUCUAGUGAAUUCAUUCCUCCUCGUCGCUCCUCCACCCUUGAUGUAGCUAUGGCAACACCAAAUUAAAGCAGCAACUUUUCCAAACACUCCCUAAGUUAAAGGUCCAGAUGAGCUCAGAAUUCCACAGUUGAAGGUGUUUGAUGUUCCACGUGUCCUUGCGAUAACCCUGAAAGCACAACUUUUCAAUCAUCACUCCUGAGACUUAACUUUGGGGCAUGCCCAGAGUGCCGAAACCAAAUAUCUGUUGUGUUUUGUCAUGCAGCUACAGACUGGUCGAGCAGUAUUAAUACAAGCGGAAAGAAGUUACGUUAUCUCUGCUGAGCCUUUUGCAGUCCUGAAGGAUAAAAGCCAAAGCAUUAGCAUGCUGUCAAACUGCUUGUUACUUUACUUGAAAACCAUUGCAAAUUGUGUCAUUUGAAGUCAAAGUGGGUUCUAACUCCAUUGGUUAAAUUAAGUGUUUCAAUUUAAAUACAUCAAUGUGGUGAGAACUCGAUGCGGCAAUUCUUACUCCGAAAUGACUUUUUAUGUGUAAUUGCUGUUACUGAGUCAACGUCCGACUGAAAUGCAAAUAUUCCUCAAAAUGAUGUAACAGCAAUGCUAAGUAAUGUUGUUUGAGAUAAUGUGACAUCAUUGCCACGUCAUUCUUUUUUGUUUAUAAGCUCAUUUUACUUUGAUCCUCUUGAUGAGGGAGUCCAGUAUAUAAUAACUGACCUUUUGAAAAAAAGGCAUUCCGCCCCCAGUUUUUCUUUUUUAUUCACUACACAAUAGUGAUGCUUUAUCCAUCCAAUCAUAUUUAAUACCACUUAACCGGUUUCGGGUCAGGGGGAAACUGGAGCUUGUCCCAAAUGACUCAAUGUGAGACAACACCAAAGACAACACAUUUUCCCCUUCGUUGUGGCGCAGACAAGCAACCAGCGCGCCUCCAGAAAGAUGGUUUGCUUCUUCCACUGGGCGAAAAGAGGCAAGAGUUGUGGCAAAACACCUUAGGGCUGCCCUACUAUGACAACACACCUGCAUACAAUGCUCUGAGCACCUGACUGAAGAGAAACCUUGCUGCAACCUCUCUACUCACCCGACUUGACUUUGUGUAAUUUUGUUGCCUUUUUUCCAAGCUCAAGUGAGUCAUUAAGGCCCCUGUUUUCAAGAUGUUGACAAGAUAAAGACGUCCGUGGCGACAGAGCUGCUGAUGAUCCUGUAGAAAUCCUUUCAGGGGUCCAUGAAAGCGUGGUAAAGAAGGCUCUACAGGAAGCUCAAGCGGGGAACUUUCAGUUUGGAUUUGAAAUCAAUGUUUUUGUAAAUA